rnacentral:lncRNA from 1 species
AUAGCAACAGCAGCGUAGCUGAACAUCUUACGGAUGGCCCAGGGCUCCAAAGGCUCGUUUCCUAAGUGAGAGAGAGCCUGGCUGAAGCUGUAUUACCAUUCAUUCUCCAGCCUCCGAAGUCUCAAAGCAUCACUUCCACCAUACUCUAACUGUCAAGACAAACACAAAGGCCCAGACAUUACAUGUAAAUGGAAUCAUACAAUAUGUGAUCUUUUGUGACUGGCUUCUUUCACUUAGCAUAACGUUUUCAAGGUUUGUUCGUGUUGUAGCAGAAACUGCCAGACUGUCUUCUGAAGUGGCUAUAAUAUUUACACUCCCAUCAGCAGUGUAGAAGGGGUCUCACUAUGUUGUCUGGAGUGCUGUGGUGGAGUGGAGUGGCUAUUCACAGCUGAGUUUGCAGAGUAAACCACUACCCUGAAAUCUGGAAAGGCAGGUGCACCCACAGAUCCUCAGCUGAGAUCCAAUUACCUGAAAUAGAAGCUGCCAUUAGGAACACUUAAAAGAGCCUGUUCUGCUGGGACACAGAAUCACUUGCUCCAUCUCAUACAUUGAUGAUGAUUAAUUUGUAUGUGUACCUUCCAAAAAAGAUGGUUGUGUUUGAAUGGAGGCCUUCUGGACAGGAAAAUUGCAAAGUACAAUUAACAUUUGAGUCUGUCUGAGUCAUGAAGAAAUGGAGAUUACUGAAAAUAAUUCAUUUUGGUAUCUUCUUACAUCCUGAGAGACUAAUCUUUCCAAGUUCAUCUGAGGCUCCUCUUCUCCAUGACAACCUCAUCCAGGGAUUUCUUCCUGUCCUGGUGUUUUAUGACAUGUGGAAGGGGACUGUAGCAGGUGAUCUCCAAAGUCUCUGGAGACUUACUAAUGUGCAUCCUCAUCUCGCUUGUAAGGAUAAUAGCCUUCCUCCAAACCUCACACACUUUUGGAGGAGAUCACUUUUUUUAAAGUGCAUGGAAAUGUUUUGAAACAGUGAAAUCUAUAAUGAUAGGUUUCAUAAUUCUAACAUCCACACCAUAUGAAUCACAUCCUUCCUGAGAUAAUGAGCACACAAUUGCCUGGAUACCUGAAGGAAUGGAGACAGCGGCAGAAAACACUGCAGAGAGGUGGAAACAUCCGUUAAUAUUUUAAAAUCCCAUUACUGCUACCAACAAUAAUAAUGGAUGCAUAGAAAUAGAUCUGGAUUAGCUGAGCUUGAAACAGUCCAUCUCACACACACACAAAAGAAUUUCAGAUACAGUGAACCCACAUGUUGAAGCUUUCUAGUAUAAUAAAAAUUUCAACUGUUCUGUUGAAUCAUCUGCCUGAUUGGAGGCUACAGAAAAGAUGUCAUCUUAGGAGUGCUUGCUCUGAGUGAGGCUCAUCUUCAAAUCUGAAUGACCACAAGGAGAUUUGAUUAUACAUGUGAACACCUCAGAAGGCACAGCCCACCCAGAAGGCAGACAGGUCAGGCUGCUUUUUCUUCAUUGCUUGGAUUCAAUCCUCCGGGCGGCUCAGGCUCAAACAUAACUUAAGCAUGAUUAAACUUUAGAAGAAGCUGCCAGGAAGACUGUGAAAUCUUCAUGCCCAAGGAUCCCUAAAAUUAGGAGCAACAACCACUUGGCUCAGACGGUUUAUGGAGGCAAAGGUUUGGAUGGGAUUAGAGAUUUCUAAAUGUGAGUUCGUGUCCUCUGCCAGACCACCUUACUUCCACCAUUCCUCAGCAAAUCAAGAAAAACAGGAGAAAAGACAUGCCUUUCCAUAAGUUAAAUCUAUUCUGUUUUAAUUCUAUAUUAUAUCUGCUGUACAACUUCUUUUGUUUGUAACACCAUAUUGUUGCUAGUAACUGGAAAUUAAUUUUCACAUGCCUCAGCUUAGAAAAAUAAAAAGCAGCCCUGCAUC